rnacentral:lncRNA from 1 species
UGAAUACAGAUAUUGACAGAGACGUCUGAGAGGAGAAACCAAGAUCGUUUAUAUGUCUAUUUGCUCCAAGAGCCAGGCCUGCAGAUAUGAAGAUGAGUCACCGUUCCAGCAGUGUCAGUGAUGUGACUGAUACUACAUGUGUCAGAAACCAUAUUCACAGUUUUACUAGUACACUUUGAAUCAGGAAUCCAGCUGGGAAAUAAUUCCCAAACCUAUGUCGCCGGACAUUGUUAAAUACGCUCCCAUGAUCAGAUUCUUCAUCAACAGGAGUCUCCAUUCUGAAAUAUCAUGAUAUCCCUUAAACAUGGAAUCCAAAAAGAAAUGAAACAAAUGAACGAGACCGAAACAGACUCAGAUGUAGAGAACCAGCUUAUGGUUGCCAGGGGGAAGGGCUGGGGGAAGAGACAGUUAGGGAAUUGGGGAUAGACAUGUGUGCACUGCUAUAUUUAAUAUGGAUAACCAACAAGGACCUAUUGUCCAGAGCACAGGGAACUCUGUUCAAUGUUAUAUGGCAGCCUGGAGGGGAGGGUUGUUUGGGAGAGAAUUGAUAGCUGUGUAUGUAUGACUGAGUCCCUUUGCUGUUCAUUUGAAACAAUCACAGCAUUGUUAAUCAUCUGUAUUCCAAUAUAAAAUAAUUUUUUUUAAAAAAGACUUGAAAAAAAA